ensembl:lncRNA
CUGGUGUCCUUCUAUGAUGGAGUUAUGGCUGCAGUGGAUGGGAGAAGGGUGGUGGAUGUCAUCUACCUGGACUCCUGCAAAGCCUUUGACAUGGUCCCUCACCACAUCCUUCUCUCUAAAUUGGAGUCUUGGGACCAGUGCUAUUCAACAUCUUCAUCGCUGACACAGACGAUGGCAUCGAGUGCAUCCUCAGCAAGUUUGCAGAUGGACCUGGACAGGCUGGAGAACUGGGCCCAUGUGAAACUAAUGAAGUUCAACAAGGCCAAGUGCAAGGCGUGUCACUCCAUCAUAGAAGGAGAUCAGGUUCAUCAAGCAGAACCUGCCUUUCAUGAACCCAUGCUGGCUGUGCCUGAUCCACCAGACAUCCCUCACAUAUUUGUAGCCUUAAA